UCGGGAAUUUUGGGCAAUGGGCGAAAGCCUGACCCAGCAACGCCGCGUGAAGGAUGAAAUCCCUCGGGAUGUAAACUUCGCAAGAAUAGGAAGAAUUAGUAGGGGUUAAUACCCCCUAUGAUGACGGUACUAUUUGUAAGCUCCGGCUAACUCCGUGCCAGCAGCCGCGGUAAUACGGGGGGAGCAAGCGUUGUUCGGAUUUACUGGGCGUAAAGGGCGCGUAGGCGGUCAGCACAAGUCAGUUGUGAAAUCUCCGGGCUUAACUCGGAAAGGUCAACUGAUACUGUGCGACUAGAGUGCAGAAGGGGCAACUGGAAUUCUCGGUGUAGCGGUGAAAUGCGUAGAUAUCGAGAGGAACACCUGCGGCGAAGGCGGGUUGCUGGGCUGACACUGACGCUGAGGCGCGAAAGCCAGGGGAGCGAACGGGAUUAGAUACCCCGGUAGUCCUGGCCUUAAACGAUGGAUGCUUGGUGUCUGGAGUUUUAUAGUCUCCGGGUGCCGUAGCUAACGCGUUAAGCAUCCCGCCUGGGGAGUACGGUCGCAAGACUGA
rnacentral:rRNA from 1 species